CGUGAGUAACCUGCCCUGGAGUGGGGAAUAACAGCUGGAAACAGCUGCUAAUACCGCAUAAUGCAGUUGGGCCGCAUGGCUCUGACUGCCAAAGAUUUAUCGCUCUGGGAUGGACUCGCGUCUGAUUAGCUAGUUGGUGGGGCAACGGCCCACCAAGGCGACGAUCAGUAGCCGGACUGAGAGGUUGGCCGGCCACAUUGGGACUGAGACACGGCCAGACUCCUACGGAAGGCAGCAG
rnacentral:rRNA from 1 species